rnacentral:rRNA from 1 species
UAAGACGAACCGUGCGAACGUUAUUCGGAAUCAUUGGGCUUAAAGGGCGCGUAGGCGGGUGACCGCGUCGAUGGCUGAAAGCCCCCGGCUUAACCGGGGAACGGGCCACGAUACGGGUCGCCUCGAGGCGAGGAGGGGGACCUGGAACGUCCGGUGGAGCGGUGAAAUGCGUUGAGAUCGGACGGAACACCGACGGCGAAAGCAAGGUCCUGGACUCGUAACUGACGCUGAGGCGCGAAAGCCAGGGGAGCGAACGGGAUUAGAUACCCCGGUAGUCCUGGCCGUAAACGAUGGGCACUGGGCGGCGGGCUCGCCGAUGGGCACGCCACCGUAGCGAAAGCGUCAAGUGCCCCGCCUGGGGAGUAUGGUCGCAAGGCUG